UCCAAACUUCUUUUAGCGUCUACUUGGAGUAAAACUUAAUACAAACUUUUAGGUAAGGCGGUCUUACAGGAAAGACCGCCUUGAUGGCAAUCAAGCUGCCACGUGGUUAGUGACAUCAUCUUAAAAAAAUCAAAAAUAUAUACUCUUUUUAUUCUCACGCAUUUUCUCUCUCUUCCUCAUUUCAUCAUAUUGAAGGUAGGGUUUUUUCUCCCUCCUCCCUCCUCCCAUCACAUUUUCUCUCUCUUCCUCCCCAUAGAAGCGGCGACGGCAAUGGCGGCGAGGCAAUGUUAGGAUUUCGCAACGAGAGAGGAAGAGCAACGUCGAAUCUGGUGGCCGACGAGUGGCGGUGAAGGAAGGAGACCGUGGAGGCGGCGAUGCAAUGUUAGGGUUUCGCAAUGAGAGAGGAAGGAGAAGAGUGACGUCGAAUCUAGUGGCCGACGAGCAGCGGCGAAGGAAGGAGAUGCAGCGGCGAAAGAAGGAGAUCGUGCGAUGAUUGAUUUUACGCGGUUGACGGUGGAGAUGGUGGUGGAGCAGCGCUUCGACUGGUGGUUUGGUCGUUGUUGUGGUUGCUCCUCUACUCUGGUCGUGGUCGGUGGCUUGAGGCGCUAGGCUUGUCAUUCCGGUGGCUGCUUUGUUGGUGCUACUGUUGCCGUGUUGCUAGGCGUGGAGAGGAGUGAGAUAAGGCAGGGUGGAAAAAUAGCAGAGAAAUGUAAUUUAAUUUCCAAAUUUGUACUGUAAAUGUAAACAAUUUUAUUCAUUUAUAUUAGUCAGGAUUAAAUUGGUUUUAGUUAACAAUAAUUUCAUUUUAGUUACAUUUUUGUUAUAUUUAGUUAAGACUAUUUUCGUUUUAGUUAAAUUUGUAUUAGUCUGAAAUAAUUAGUUCGGAAUUUGUUCGUUUUAGUUAAGAUUUUUUAAGUUUUAGUUA